GGAGAGGGUAUAGCUCAGUGGUAGAGUGUGUGCUUAGCAUGCACGAGGUCCUGGGUUCAAUCCCCAGUACUUCCA
rnacentral:tRNA from 1 species